UGCACCACACCUACGGGUGGCAGCAGUCGAGGAUCUUCGGCAAUGGGCGCAAGCCUGACCGAGCGACGCCGCGUGCGCGACGAAGGCCUUCGGGUUGUAAAGCGCUGCCGGGGGGGAGAAAGCCGAAAGGUUGAUCUAUCCCCGGAGGAAGCACGGGCUAAGUUCGUGCCAGCAGCCGCGGUAAGACGAACCGUGCGAACGUUGUUCGGAAUCACUGGGCUUAAAGGGCGCGUAGGCGGUUCAUCAAGUCAGGGGUGAAAUCUUUCGGCUCAACCGGAAAAGUGCCCCUGAUACUGAUGAUCUCGAGGGAGGUAGGGGCCUGUGGAACUUCUGGUGGAGCGGUGAAAUGCGUUGAUAUCAGAAGGAACGCCGGUGGCGAAAGCGACGGGCUGGACCUCUUCUGACGCUGAGGCGCGAAAGCCAA
rnacentral:rRNA from 1 species